GCAGGCUUACUCUGUGCCAGGUUCCGACUCUCCAGCCUGGCACUUUUUCUGCCUGCUACAUUAAUGUUCUCAUCAACAAUGUUUGCAGUCUCAGUUCAUCCAGUGGAUAGGCUGCAUGUUGUGUUUGGGAGCACAGUA